rnacentral:rRNA from 1 species
UACGAAGGGAGCUAGCGUUGUUCGGAAUCACUGGGCGUAAAGCGCACGUAGGCGGAUUUGUAAGUCAGGGUGAAAUCCCGGGGCUCAACCUCGGAACUGCCUUUGAUACUGCAAAUCUCGAGUCCGAUAGAGGUGGGUGGAAUUCCUAGUGUAGAGGUGAAAUUCGUAGAUAUUAGGAAGAACACCGGUGGCGAAGGCGGCCCACUGGAUCGGUACUGACGCUGAGGUGCGAAAGCGUGGGGAGCGAAACAGG